UACAGAGGUCUCAAGCGCUGUUCGGAUUCAUUGGGCGUAAAGGGUGCGUAGGCGGCGCGGUAAGUCGGGUGUGAAAUCUCGGGGCUUAACUCCGAAACUGCAUUCGAUACUGCCGUGCUUGAGGACUGGAGAGGAGACUGGAAUUUACGGUGUAGCGGUGAAAUGCGUAGAUAUCGGGAGGAACACCAGUGGCGAAGGCGGUUGCCUGGAGCUUUGCUGACGCUGAUGCGCGAAAGCGUGGGGAGCGAUCCGG
rnacentral:rRNA from 1 species